CAGCAGCCGCGGGAAUACGAAGGGUGCAAGCGUUAAUCGGAAUUACCGGGCGUAAAGCGUGCGUAGGCGGUGAGUUAAGUCUGCUGUGAAAUCCCCGGGCUCAACCUGGGAAUGGCAGUGGAUACUGGCUCGCUAGAGUGUGUCAGAGGAUGGUGGAAUUCCCGGUGUAGCAGUGAAAUGCGUAGAGAUGUGGAGGAACAUCAGUGGCGAAGGCGGCCAUCUGGGACAACACUGACGCUGAGGCACGAAAGCGUGGGGAGCAAACAGGAUUAGAGACCCCCGUAGUCCCUGUCUCUUAUAC
rnacentral:rRNA from 1 species